AGGGAAUUCCUGGUGUAGCGGUGAAAUGCGUAGAGAUCAGGAAGAACAUCGGUGGCGAAGGCGCUCUGCUGGACCAUAACUGACACUCAGGGACGAAAGCUAGGGGAGCGAAUGGGAUUAGAUACCCUGGUAGUCCACGCCGUAAACGAUGAUAACUAGCUGUCCGGGGACUUGGUCUUUGGGUGGCGCAGCUAACGCAUUAAGUUAUCCGCCUGGGGAGUACGGCCGCAAGGUUAAAACUCAAAUGAAUUGACGGGGGCCUGCACAAGCGGUGGAGCAUGUGGUUUAAUUCGAAGCAACGCGAAGAACCUUACCAGGUCUUGACAUCUUUUGAUCACCUGAGAGAUCAGGUUUCCCCUUCGGGGGCAAAAUGACAGGUGGUGCAUGGUUGUCGUCAGCUCGUGUCGUGAGAUGUUGGGUUAAGUCCC
rnacentral:rRNA from 1 species